rnacentral:rRNA from 1 species
CCUACGGGAGGCAGCAGUAGGGAAUCUUCCACAAUGGGCGAAAGCCUGAUGGAGCAACGCCGCGUGGGUGAAGAAGGUCUUCGGAUCGUAAAACCCUGUUGUUAGAGAAGAAAGUGCGUGAGAGUAACUGUUCACGUUUCGACGGUAUCUAACCAGAAAGCCACGGCUAACUACGUGCCAGCAGCCGCGGUAAUACGUAGGUGGCAAGCGUUAUCCGGAUUUAUUGGGCGUAAAGGGAACGCAGGCGGUCUUUUAAGUCUGAUGUGAAAGCCUUCGGCUUAACCGGAGUAGUGCAUUGGAAAACUGGAGAACUGAGUGCAGGAGAGGAGAGUGGAACUUCAUGUG